rnacentral:rRNA from 1 species
UACGUAGGGCGCGAGCGUUGUCCGGAAUUAUUGGGCGUAAAGAGCUCGUAGGCGGCCGGUUGCGUCUGCUGUGAAAUCCCGGGGCUUAACCCCGGGCGUGCAGUGGAUACGGGCCGGCUGGAGGCAGGCAGGGGAGAAUGGAAUUCCCGGUGUAGCGGUGAAAUGCGCAGAUAUCGGGAGGAACACCUAUGGCGAAGGCAGCUCGCUGGGACGUUACUGACGCUGAGACGCGAAAGCGUGGGGAGCAAACAGG